GACGAACGCUGGCGGCGUGCUUAACACAUGCGAGUCGAACGGAAAGGCCCUGCUUUUGUGGGGUGCUCGAGUGGCGAACGGGUGAGUAACACGUGAGUAACCUGCCCUUGACUUUGGGAUAACUUCAGGAAACUGGGGCUAAUACCGGAUAGGAGCUCCUGCGGCAUGGUGGGGGUUGGAAAGUUUCGGCGGUUGGGGAUGGACUCGCGGCGUAUCAGCUUGUUGGUGGGGUAGUGGCUUACCAAGGCUUUGACGGGUAGCCGGGCUGGUAGGGUGACCGGACACGUUGGGCCGGAGAUGCGGCACAGACUCCUACGGGAGGCAGCGGUGGGGAAUAUUGCACAAUGGGAGGAAGGCUGAUGUAGCAACGCCGCGUGGGGGAUGACGGCCUUGGGGUUGUAAACCGCUUUCGCCUGUGACGAAGCGUGAGUGACGGUAAUGGGUAAAGAAGCACCGGCUAACUACGUG
rnacentral:rRNA from 1 species